GGUUAAGUUAGAAAGGGCGCACGGUGAAUGCCUUGGCACUAGGAGCCGAUGAAGGACGGGACUAACACCGAUAUGCUUCGGGGAGCUGUAAGUGAGCUUUGAUCCGGAGAUUUCCGAAUGGGGAAACCCACUGUUCGUAAUGGAACAGUAUCUUUAUCUGAAUACAUAGGAUAUUGAAGGCAGACCCGGGGAACUGAAACAUCUAAGUACCCGGAGGAAGAGAAAGCAAAUGCGAUUUCCUGAGUAGCGGCGAGCGAAACGGAAUUAGCCCAAACCAAGAGGCUUGCCUCUUGGGGUUGUAGGACACUCUAUACGGAGUUACAAAGGAACGAAGUAAAUGAAGCGACCUGGAAAGGUCCGUCGAAGAAGGUAACAACCCUGUAGUUGAAACUUCGUUCCCUCUUGAGUGGAUCCUGAGUACGGCGGAACACGUGAAAUUCCGUCGGAAGCUGGGAGGACCAUCUCCCAAGGCUAAAUACUACCUAGUGACCGAUAGUGAACCAGUACCGUGAGGGAAAGGUGAAAAGCACCCCGGAAGGGGAGUGAAAGAGAUCCUGAAACCGUGUGCCUACAAGUAGUCAGAGCCCGUUAAUGGGUGAUGGCGUGCCUUUUGUAGAAUGAACCGGCGAGUUACGAUCCCAUGCAAGGUUAAGCUGAUAAGGCGGAGCCGUAGCGAAAGCGAGUCUGAAUAGGGCGUUUAGUAUGUGGUUGUAGACCCGAAACCAGGUGAUCUACCCAUGUCCAGGGUGAAGUUCAGGUAACACUGAAUGGAGGCCCGAACCCACGCACGUUGAAAAGUGCGGGGAUGAGGUGUGGGUAGCGGAGAAAUUCCAAUCGAACCUGGAGAUAGCUGGUUCUCUCCGAAAUAGCUUUAGGGCUAGCCUCAUGUUGUGAGAGUCUUGGAGGUAGAGCACUGAUUGGACUAGGGGCCCCCAACGGGUUACCGAAUUCAGUCAAACUCCGAAUGCCAAAGACUUAUCCAUGGGAGUCAGACUGCGAGUGAUAAGAUCCGUAGUCAAAAGGGAAACAGCCCAGACCACCAGCUAAGGUCCCCAAGUAUACGUUAAGUGGAAAAGGAUGUGGAGUUGCUUAGACAACCAGGAUGUUGGCUUAGAAGCAGCCACCAUUUAAAGAGUGCGUAAUAGCUCACUGGUCGAGUGACUCUGCGCCGAAAAUGUACCGGGGCUAAACGUAUCACCGAAGCUGUGGAUUGACAUCUUUGAUGUCAGUGGUAGGAGAGCGUUCUAAGUGCAGCGAAGUCAGACCGUAAGGACUGGUGGAGCGCUUAGAAGUGAGAAUGCCGGUAUGAGUAGCGAAAGACAAGUGAGAAUCUUGUCCACCGAAUGCCUAAGGUUUCCUGAGGAAGGCUCGUCCGCUCAGGGUUAGUCGGGACCUAAGCCGAGGCUGAAAAGCGUAGGCGAUGGCCAACAGGUUGAUAUUCCUGUACCACCUCCCCGCCGUUUGAGUAAUGGGGGGACGCAGUAGGAUAGGGUAAGCGCGCUGCUGGAUAUGCGCGUUCAAGCAGUUAGGCUGAUGAGUAGGCAAAUCCGCUCAUCAUAAAGGCUGAGCUGUGAUGACGAGGGAAUUAUAGUACCGAAGUUCCUGAUUCCACACUGCCAAGAAAAGCCUCUAGCGAGGCGGGAGGUGCCCGUACCGCAAACCGACACAGGUAGGCGAGGAGAGAAUCCUAAGGUGAUCGAGAGAACUCUCGUUAAGGAACUCGGCAAAAUGACCCCGUAACUUCGGGAGAAGGGGUGCUCUGGUAGGGUGUAUAGCCCGAGAGAGCCGCAGUGAAUAGGCCCAGGCGACUGUUUAGCAAAAACACAGGUCUCUGCGAAGCCGCAAGGCGAAGUAUAGGGGCUGACGCCUGCCCGGUGCUGGAAGGUUAAGAGGAGGGGUUAUCCUUUGGGAGAAGCUCUGAAUCGAAGCCCCAGUAAACGGCGGCCGUAACUAUAACGGUCCUAAGGUAGCGAAAUUCCUUGUCGGGUAAGUUCCGACCCGCACGAAAGGCGUAACGAUCUGGGCACUGUCUCAACGAGAGACUCGGUGAAAUUAUAGUACCUGUGAAGAUGCAGGUUACCCGCGACAGGACGGAAAGACCCCGUGGAGCUUUACUGUAGCCUGAUAUUGAAUUUUGGUACAGCUUGUACAGGAUAGGUAGGAGCCUGAGAAGCCGGAGCGCUAGCUUCGGUGGAGGCGUCGGUGGGAUACUACCCUGGCUGUAUUGAAAUUCUAACCCGCGGCCCUGAUCGGGCCGGGAGACAGUGUCAGGUGGGCAGUUUGACUGGGGCGGUCGCCUCCUAAAAUGUAACGGAGGCGCCCAAAGGUUCCCUCAGAAUGGUUGGAAAUCAUUCGUAGAGUGUAAAGGCACAAGGGAGCUUGACUGCGAGACCUACAAGUCGAGCAGGGACGAAAGUCGGGCUUAGUGAUCCGGUGGUUCCGCAUGGAAGGGCCAUCGCUCAACGGAUAAAAGCUACCCCGGGGAUAACAGGCUUAUCUCCCCCAAGAGUCCACAUCGACGGGGAGGUUUGGCACCUCGAUGUCGGCUCAUCGCAUCCUGGGGCUGUAGUCGGUCCCAAGGGUUGGGCUGUUCGCCCAUUAAAGCGGUACGCGAGCUGGGUUCAGAACGUCGUGAGACAGUUCGGUCCCUAUCCGUCGUGGGCGUAGGAAAUUUGAGAGGAGCUGUCCUUAGUACGAGAGGACCGGGAUGGACACACCGCUGGUGUACCAGUUGUCUUGCCAAAGGCAUCGCUGGGUAGCUAUGUGUGGACGGGAUAAGUGCUGAAAGCAUCUAAGCAUGAAGCCCCCCUCAAGAUGAGAUUUCCCAUAGCGCAAGCUAGUAAGAUCCCUGAAAGAUGAUCAGGUUGAUAGGUCAGAGGUGGAAGCGUGGCGACAUGUGUAGCUGACUGAUACUAAUCGAUCGAGGACUUAACCAA
rnacentral:rRNA from 2 species